rnacentral:snRNA from 1 species
AGACUUACCUGGACAGGGUCAAUGGGCGAUCAUGAAGGCCCAUGGUCUAGGCUUGCACUUUGGAGGGGUGCUCGCCUAAGGUCAGCCCAAGUGGUUGACCCUACGUCAUAAUGA